GUCUGAUCAGGACACAUACUGCAGAUGUUAAAACAAAUCAGAAAACAAACAACUUUCUCUCAGGAAUUGUAGAUCUUCAAUCAUGCAGACAUUUAUCUGUGUACAUGUAUUUAAAUAUAGUGGAGGUGCAGCUUAAUUAGUUCUUAAUAACACUUUGAAAUAAUAACAAUGUGUCAGGAUUACAUGGACAAUGAAGUCAUUGGAUCAUGUAUGAAAUGGGACAACAUUAGUGUAAACAUUUAAUUUAGCAAAAAUGGUUGGAUUCAUUAGAGAAUGUCAGCCAAUCUAAAGUAUUUAGCAUACUGUGAUGGCUUAACUGACGCUGGGUAUCACUUAAAUAAGAUACCAAUGUCCUUAAAGUUGUACUGAUGCCUGUAUAAUACUUCAUUUGAAACUGUCUUUCUACUUUGAUUCAUAUCUUGUCAGUGGAAGCAUUCAUUGGUGUAUUAUGUUACCAUCAUUCCUUCUCAUUGAAUGUUCUUUCCUUGUAUUUUUCGAAAGUGUAGCUCCUUAUCUUCAUGGCAAGACAAAACUAUACACUCGGGCUGAGAAACUCUCAGCUAAAUGUAUCAAUGAUUAACAAAUGGACAGAACUGUGUGUGUGUGUGUGUGUGUGUGUGUCUGUGUUCAUAUUCUGUACAGUUUACUGCUAUAGCAAACAGCAGUCAAAUUAAACACAAGCUGUUUUAUUGAGGUGAUAAUAUGCCCUCUCUCCUCUGCAUGCUC